UCAAUCCCGUAAUGCAUCACAAAGUAUUUUUGGCUAAAAAGAACUAUUAACAUUUUCAACGAUAUGGCACCUCAUUCAUGGCGGCCAUCGCUGAACAAUUGUGUGUUUACUAUUCUUUGUGAAUAGAAAAAUAUUUUAAGAACACUUUUAUAAGCAUUAAUGGCUAAAUAUUUAGUGAAAAAAGAUGUGCAUCCAUUUGUUUAUGAAGAAAAGAUGGUGUAUUAAUAAAAAGAAAAAGAACUGAAACAACGGUGC